UAGGGAAUCUUCCGCAAUGGACGCAAGUCUGACGGAGCAACGCCGCGUGAGUGAAGAAGGAUUUCGGUUCGUAAAACUCUGUUGUUAGAGAAGAACAGCGCAUAGAGUAACUGUUAUGCGUGUGACGGUAUCUAACCAGAAAGCCACGGCUAACUACGUGCCAGCAGCCGCGGUAAUACGUAGGUGGCAAGCGUUGUCCGGAUUUAUUGGGCGUAAAGCGAGCGCAGGCGGUCAAUUAAGUCUGAUGUGAAAGCCCCCGGCUCAACCGGGAAGGGUCAUUGGAAACUGGUUGACUUGAGUGCAGAAGAGGAGAGUGGAAUUCCAUGUGUAGCGGUGAAAUGCGUAGAUAUAUGGAGGAACACCAGUGGCGAAGGCGACUCUCUGGUCUGUAACUGACGCUGAGGCUCGAAAGCGUGGGUAGCAAACAGG
rnacentral:rRNA from 1 species